UCAACAUGGCUCGAGUUAAAUAUUAUCUUUGGAAAUUCUGGUUAAAUAUUAAAACCCUUUCUCUCUCUCUCAUCUUCUCAUCUUUAUAUUGUAUUAAUAUUUUAUCUUCUCUUUCUUUACUUUAUCUUGUUUUCAGAUUGGAAAGUUUGUUACAUGGAAAUUAUUUGAUAGAAGAUGGAAAAGGAGAAAACCCAAAAAGAAAAUGAUUGAGGUCAAUUGGUUAACAUGCGAUUACAUGGAAACCAGAAUUUGGAACCAGAGGUUUUUUUCCACCAUGUUAAUAGAUUGUUAUUUGUUUAUAUCGUGGGUGUGACCCUGUUAUCGUUUUUUUUUGGCGACUUGAAGUAUAUGAAAAUUUACAUGGUAAAGUUCAGAAUAGAACCAGAAUUAAGUGAAGAAUGAAAUUUAAUGAGAAUAAUAAACGAAAAAGUUACAAUGCUAA